rnacentral:rRNA from 1 species
CUACGGAGGAUCCGAGCGUUAUCCGGAUUUAUUGGGUUUAAAGGGUGCGCAGGCGGCCAUUUAAGUCAGCGGUUAAUUCGUGGGGCUCAACCCCAUUCUGCCGUUGAUACUGGGUGGCUUGAUUGCGGUCGAGGUUGGCGGAAUUCGUUGUGUAGCGGUGAAAUGCAUAGAUAUGACGAAGAACACCGAUUGCGUAGGCAGCUGACCAGACCGCAAAUGACGCUCAUGCACGAAAGUGCGGGGAUCGAACAGGAUUAGAUACCCUGGUAGUCCGCACAGUAAACGAUGAAUACUUGUUUUCGGCGAUAUAAUGUCGGAGGCAAAGCGAAAGCGAUAAGUAUUCCACCUGGGGAGUACGCCGGCAACGGUGAAACUCAAAGGAAUUGACGGGG